UCGUAGGGCGCAAGCGUUAUCCGGAAUUAUUGGGCGUAAAGAGCUCGUAGGCGGUUUGUCGCGUCUGCCGUGAAAGUCCGGGGCUCAACUCCGGAUCUGCGGUGGGUACGGGCAGACUAGAGUGAUGUAGGGGAGACUGGAAUUCCCGGUGUAGUGGUGAAAUGCGCAGAUAUCAGGAGGAACACCGGUGGCGAAGGCGGGUCUCUGGGCAACAACGUGACGUGAGGAGCGAAAGCGUGGGGAGCGAACAGGG
rnacentral:rRNA from 1 species